GAAAAAUCGAUGGACUGGCCUGCCACUGAAGUAAUUUAAAGGGCCGCGGUAAUUUGACCGUGCGAAGGUAGCAUAAUCAAUAGUCUCUUAAUUGGAGGCUGGAAUGAAUGGUCGGACAAGGAGUGGACUGUCUUUUUCUUAUCUUAUGAAGUUUACUUUUAAGUGAAAAGGCUUAAAUAUACUUGGGGGACGAUAAGACCCUAUAAAACUUUACAGUAUAGUUUAUAUUUUAUGAAAUAAAAUUUAAUGUUGGUUAUGAGUUAUCUGUUAUGUUGGGGUGACAAAGAUAUAAUUAGUAACUGUCAGACAAUGGUAAUAAUAAUAAUUAGAUUAAUUGAUCCUUUAUUAGAGAUUAUAAGAUUAAGUUACUUUAGGGAUAACAGCGUAAUUUUCUUUGAGAGUUCUUAUCGACAAGAAUAGUUGCGACCUCGAUGUUGAAUUAAGAUUUCUUUUAAAUGUAGCAGUUUAAUCAGUAGGUCUGUUCGACCUUUAAAAUCUUACGUGAUCUGAUUCCAGACCGGA
rnacentral:rRNA from 1 species